rnacentral:rRNA from 1 species
UAGGGAAUAUUGCUCAAUGGGCGAAAGCCUGAAGCAGCAACGCCGCGUGUGUGAUGAAGGCCUUCGGGUCGUAAAGCACUUUUCUGGGAGAUGAGAAAGGACAGUAUCCCAGGAAUAAGUCUCGGCUAACUACGUGCCAGCAGCCGCGGUAAAACGUAGGAGGCAAGCGUUAUCCGGAUUCACUGGGCGUAAAGCGCAUGCAGGCGGUGCGGUAAGUUGGGUGUGAAAUCUCCCGGCUCAACUGGGAGAGGUCAUUCAAUACUACCGUACUCGAGAGCAGAAGAGGAAGAUGGAAUUCCCGGUGUAGUGGUGAAAUGCGUAGAUAUCGGGAGGAACACCAGUGGCGAAGGCGAUCUUCUGGUCUGUUUCUGACGCUCAUAUGCGACAGCUAGGGUAGUAAACGGGAUUAGAGACCCCGGUAAUCCUAGCCGUAAACGAUGUGAACUUGGCGUUGGUGGGUUAAACUCCAUCAGUGCCGUAGCAAACGCGAUAAGUUCACCGCCUGGGGACUACGGCCGCAAGGUUAA